CUUUUUCUUAUCUUUUAGUGUUAAUAGUUGGUCCUUAAAAGUUAGAGGAUAAUAAAUAAUAAAAGUCAAGUGUUAGUAAAAGUUAAUAGAAGGGUGCUGUGUGGCAGGUGAACGGAAUAGAUUCCACGUGGAUCGUGGAACAAAUUUGUGGAAAAAAGGCCUAGUGGGCCUUUUUUCCGUUCUUUAAGCUAAACCGGAGGCUCUUCGAACGUCAGGUUUUCCAACUUCCGAUAGCCCAAUUCGGGUGUAUCGUAUAUCCCUGAGCCAGAAACCUGCCCUGUGAUUUCUCCGUUGGAGUUAUUCGCAGCAGAGGGAUCCAAUUCGCACGAAGUGUCGUAUCCGGGACGUUGAUAGCAACCACGGAGGAAUCUAACCUCAAAAUUGGCAAAAAUAGAAGACGAGAGAACACCAGUGUCUGAUCGCCGCCAUUGUCCAAGUACCGACAUCGUUGGACCCAUUAUUCGAUCGUCGACUUUGUGGACACCAUCGUCUGAGCACCGGCAUCGUCGAACCCAUCACGCGAUCGCCAGUGUUGAACCAUCCACUGGCCCGUCGCUGACCGGACGUCUUCCGGACAUUACAGGAACCGUAACAGAUUCGCCAACCCGCAAACCGCUGACGAGCGAGUACAAUUACCAUCCCGUUCCAUGCAGUGGUUCCCCAUCAUCGUGAGUCAGCCCACACCCCAUCAACAACCGUAAGUCGCGCUGGUUUUGUUUUUGAUAAAUAGCAUGCUAAAUAGGUCAGAAGAGGUCGUAGAGAAAGUAGGUUAGAAGUCGUGAUCACGGAACUAGCAAUCAAAUUAGGCACUAAAAGGUGAAUAAAUUCUAUAUGUGUACAAAAUUGUAUUCUAGUUCAUAACACUGUUUUCACUAUUUGAUUGAGUAUCAAGUUUGCUAAAGU